CAUAAAAUGACUCUCGGCAACGGAUAUCUCGGCUCUCGCAUCGAUGAAGAACGUAGCGAAAUGCGAUACUUGGUGUGAAUUGCAGAAUCCCGUGAACCAUCGAGUCUUUGAACGCAAGUUGCGCCCGAAACCAUUAGGUUGAGGGCACGUCUGCCUGGGUGUCACG
rnacentral:rRNA from 1 species